rnacentral:rRNA from 1 species
UACGGGGGGAGCAAGGCGUUGUUCGGAUUUACUGGGCGUAAAGGGCGCGGUAGGCGGCCAUGCGUGUCUUCCGUGAAAUCCCUCGGCUUAACUGAGGACGUGCGGAAGAAACUGCAAGGCUCGAGUCCGGGAGAGGGGGGUGGAAUUCCCAGUGUAGCGGUGGAAAUGCGUAGAUAUUGGGAGGAACACGGUGGCGGAAGGCGGCCCCCUGGACCGGUAC